rnacentral:lncRNA from 1 species
UCGACAUGCGAGUCAUCGAGAGAAGGUCGCAAUGCGCCCAAUGUCACAACAUGCCCAAUGAUAAGCGUGGCGGUGUGGUUUCAGAGAAGGUAUGUGUCUAAAUUUUUCUAUCUAAGUUUCAUAUAUACAUAUAUCGGUUAUUUUUUCGAUGUUUAUAUUAUGGGGCACCAGAUUUAUUUUUUGUCCAGAGCCCUCGAAAUCUCAGGACCGGCUCUGGGUAAGGUGCAUGUAGGCAAUCAACUUACAUGUCUGAAAGAUAAUCCCAUAUAAAUUGAAAUCAAACCACGAGCUCUAUAUACAAAUGCAUGUAUAAAAUCAACUUACAUGUUAUAAGAUAACCUCAUAUAGAUCAAAAUUAAAC